UAGAGUUUGAUCAUGGCUCAGGAUGAACGCUGGCGGUAUGCCUAACACAUGCAAGUCGUACGAGAGUUUUUAACUCUAGUGGCGGACGGGUGAGUAACACGUGAGAAUUUGCCUUUAGGAGGGGGAUAACAAUUGGAAACGAAUGCUAAUACCCCAUAUGCUUUCGAGUGAAAUGGAUUUAUAUUUAUCCGCCUAGAGAGAAGCUCGCGGCUGAUUAGCUUGUUGGUAAGGUAAGAGCUUACCAAGGCGACGAUCAGUAUCUGGUUUGAGAGGACGAUCAGACACACUGGAACUGAGACACGGUCCAGACUCCUACGGGAGGCAGCAGCGGGGAAUUUUCCGCAAUGGGCGAAAGCCUGACGGAGCAAUACCGCGUGAGGGAAGACUGCCUAUGGGUUGUAAACCUCUUUUUUCAGGGAGGAAUCAAUGACGUGUACCUGAAGAAUAAGCAUCGGCUAACUCCGUGCCAGCAGCCGCGGUAAGACGGAGGAUGCAAGUGUUAUCCGGAAUCACUGGGCGUAAAGCGUCUGUAGGUGGUUUAAUAAGUCAACUGUUAAAUCUUGAGGCUCAACUUCAAAAUCGCAGUCGAAACUAUUAGACUAGAGUAUAGUAGAGGUAAAGGGAAUUUCCAGUGGAGCGGUGAAAUGCGUAGAUAUUGGAAAGAACACCGAUGGCGAAAGCACUUUACUGGGCUAUUACUAAC
rnacentral:rRNA from 1 species